AGAGUUUGAUCCUGGCUCAGGAUGAACGCUGGCGGCGUGCUUAACACAUGCAAGUCGAACGGACUUAUAACGAAACCUAGUGAAUUAUAAGUUAGUGGCGGACGGGUGAGUAACGCGUGGAAAACCUGCCGUAUACUGGGGGAUAACACUUAGAAAUAGGUGCUAAUACCGCAUAAGCGCACAGCUUCGCAUGAAGCAGUGUGAAAAACUCCGGUGGUAUACGAUGGUUCCGCGUCUGAUUAGCUAGUUGGUGAGGUAAAAGCCCACCAAGGCAACGAUCAGUAGCCGGCCUGAGAGGGUGAACGGCCACAUUGGGACUGAGACACGGCCCAGACUCCUACGGGAGGCAGCAGUGGGGGAUAUUGCACAAUGGGGGAAACCCUGAUGCAGCGACGCCGCGUGAGUGAAGAAGUAUUUCGGUAUGUAAAGCUCUAUCAGCAGGGAAGAUAAUGACGGUACCUGACUAAGAAGCCCCGGCUAACUACGUGCCAGCAGCCGCGGUAAUACGUAGGGGGCAAGCGUUAUCCGGAUUUACUGGGUGUAAAGGGAGCGUAGGUGGCAGGGCAAGUCAGAUGUGAAAACCCGGGGCUCAACCCCGGGAGUGCAUUUGAAACUGUCCAGCUGGAGUGCAGGAGAGGUAAGCGGAAUUCCUAGUGUAGCGGUGAAAUGCAUAGAUAUUAGGAGGAACACCGGUGGCGAAGGCGGCUUACUGGACUGUAACUGACACUGAGGCUCGAAAGCGUGGG
rnacentral:rRNA from 1 species